rnacentral:lncRNA from 1 species
UGUGGGGCUGGACAGAGGAGCAUGGGGUAUGUCAGGAAAGUUCGUGCUGCUAGGCAGAGGAACUGCAGCUUGUUGGCAGGUGAAGGGAGCCUGUUUAGCCGUGUCCAGCAACAACUUACGUGGUCCUACUUGUGUUCCAGGUGAAGCGUCUGGCCGCCGAGCAGAGGAAUCAAGACCUGCUCAUUCCUUCCUCGGGGGAUCCAUCCAGCAAUGACAUCAUCUCAUGCUGCCACAAGGACCCCAAGUCUGGGCUGCUGGGGACCAGCCACGCUCCCCACUGCUCAUUCCUUCAUCCUAGAGACAUUCUGACUCUCCUCCGACUGCGCUGUGCACAGGCGUGACAAGCUCUUUUACAUCUCAGUCUGCACAACUUCAGGCACUUAGCAGAUUGAUAUGCAUCCAACAAAUAUUCAUUGAAUAUCUGCUAAAUACCCAGUAAUGUUUCAUGAGUGAUUGGGUGAAUAAAUGAAUGCUGGUUCCUUCUGGCCAUAUUAACUCCUGCACAAUACUAAGAAAAAUAAAUUGCACUAGCUGUGGAAUAAUGUGAAUCCCAAUGUCA